CUCCAACCAGCCGUUCACUUUGGGGAUGAAGAUAACCCCUCUCUUUUCGUUUCUUCCUCAUUUCUCAUGCUUUUCUCUCAAAUCAAACCAUUUCCAAGCAGCCAAACUUUAAUUUCUUGAUAAAAUCUAAUAGGAAACUUGAUUCCAAUCUCAUUUCCUCCAUUGCCUUCACUAUUCAAGUUGGGUUAUCAUGGGUUUUAGAGAGAGAAAACUUCAAAAUUGUAAGUAAUGAAAAUUUCCACCUCUUUUCAUAUGACAUUUGAGUUUAAAUGCUAUGAGAAAGUUUAGAAAGGUAUUAUAUUAAUAUUUUGGUAUAUUUUUAAUGUAUGGUUAAUGAGAACAUGUUGAGAAUGAAGGAGCUUCCAAUAUUAGAUGAGCACGGAAUCAAGGUUAGGAAGAUUAAUUAUGUGUUUUUAAAGCAUCGAAAGAAGUACCAUUGGUUUCUUUUAUUUUUCCUAUGUUAAAAUGUUUAGGAAAAUGAUGAAAAUAAUGUAAUAAUUAUGAAAUUCAUUAUUACGUAAGUAGGUAUAAGGUUCAAAGUAUAAGUAUGUGAGAACAUGCAAUUCUUAUGUUGUAGUAAAAAUACUUAAUUAUGAAAUGUCAUGUUAAUUAAUAUUGUGUCACGGAUAUUUUGGAUGGUCAUGAAAAAAUUAAUAAAUAUAUUUGGAUAUUUGAGCAAAAUUAUGGCAUGUAAUAUUUAAGUGAAAUGGUAUUAAAAUCCUAUGAUUUAAAGUUAUAAAGUUGUUUGAUAUAAUAAUCCAUAUCGUGACUUGAUCACUUAAAAAGUAUUAAAUAUGUAAAUGAGAAAAUGUGUAAAAUUAUUGUGUCUAUGGGUAUAACUGUUAAUAGGUUGCCCUUGGCACCAAAAAUAUGUGUAUGUGUUAAGCACUCAAAGUGCAUAUAUGUGUAUUCAACAUUGAGUUGUUUAGUAAACUUCUGAAUAUGCUUCUGUUUAAUUAAUAAUUGUGCUAUUGGUCUGGUCUUAAAAUAGGUCAAUUGUGACGUUGAGUGCCUCAGUAAACUUAGUAUAAUAGGUAGGAUAUGAUUGGUAUUUCAAUAAAGAUGUACAUGUAUUUGCAGUUACAUAUUGGAGUUUUGUAGCCUUUGGACUUAGCACUUCGGUGCUUUUUGGUUACGUGGGAUAGAUGUAUUUUUGUACAAUUUGGUUGUGUAGCACUACAACAAAUUUGUCUAUUAGUGGCAUCUAAAAUGUUGUCAAUGAAAAUUGCAUUUAUGUCACUGUUAGUAUUUGGUGGCGCAAAUUUCAUCGCCACGGCGUUUGUCAUGUGUAACUAAAUGGUGAUGUAUUUUAUGUGUCAUGUAUUGAUGAC
rnacentral:lncRNA from 1 species